UCGAGCGGUAGCACAGGAGAGCUUGCUCUCUGGGUGACGAGCGGCGGACGGGUGAGUAAUGUCUGGGAAACUGCCUGAUGGAGGGGGAUAACUACUGGAAACGGUAGCUAAUACCGCAUAACGUCUACGGACCAAAGUGGGGGACCUUCGGGCCUCACGCCAUCAGAUGUGCCCAGAUGGGAUUAGCUAGUAGGUGGGGUAAUGGCUCACCUAGGCGACGAUCCCUAGCUGGUCUGAGAGGAUGACCAGCCACACUGGAACUGAGACACGGUCCAGACUCCUACGGGAGGCAGCAGUGGGGAAUAUUGCACAAUGGGCGCAAGCCUGAUGCAGCCAUGCCGCGUGUGUGAAGAAGGCCUUAGGGUUGUAAAGCACUUUCAGCGAGGAGGAAGGGUUCAGUGUUAAUAGCACUGUGCAUUGACGUUACUCGCAGAAGAAGCACCGGCUAACUCCGUGCCAGCAGCCGCGGUAAUACGGAGGGUGCAAGCGUUAAUCGGAAUUACUGGGCGUAAAGCGCACGCAGGCGGUUUGUUAAGUCAGAUGUGAAAUCCCCGCGCUUAACGU
rnacentral:rRNA from 1 species